rnacentral:rRNA from 1 species
AGUAACGCGUGGGUAACCUGCCUCAUACAGGGGGAUAACAGUUGGAAACGGCUGCUAAUACCGCAUAAGCGCACAGUACCGCAUGGUACCGUGUGAAAAACUCCGGUGGUAUGAGAUGGACCCGCGUCUGAUUAGCUAGUUGGUGGGGUAACGGCCUACCAAGGCGACGAUCAGUAGCCGACCUGAGAGGGUGACCGGCCACAUUGGGACUGAGACACGGCCCAA